GCUACAGUAACAACAUCUAUAGCAGUAGGGCACAUCUGGACUUACUUGGUGUGGAACUUCUGCUACCCUCCAUUUUUGUGUGAGAAUUCUGCACCCUUGGUGGGGAAAUUUAGAAGAAACAGCACCCUAUCUUCUGCUGUGUUGCUCGCCACUCAUCAUCUGCAUGGCAACAGGAAUCCAGGGGUCCUAUACAUCCAGACUGCCUUAUCUAAGCAGCAGACCAGGAUAUCAGCCUCCUCCACCAUCAUACAGCACAGUCAGCUCGUGUCGACCUUCUCCCCGCCCCAGGGACUUCAAGGUGGCAGGCUGUGACCAACGGGGGGCACCUCCUUCCUAUUUUGAGGCUGUCUCCCAUUAUCAGGAACCUUCACACCAUUGGCCUUCAGUGCAACACGGUGGUUCCUCAGCACACCACAGAGGGGCGGAAGAGGCACCACCUUACAGUCAAACGUACACUGUUCUCAGCACCAAAUUCUAGAGUAGAGGCACUGUAACGACCAGAAGAUCUCAAGAGAAUCAACUCCCCCCCGAUAUACUGGAUGGACUUUUGUUAGACCAGCACAUAGCAUGGAUAUCCAAUUUAGCUGACCAUUUCAGCUGGGUUUGCAUGUUCCAACUGAGGUUGGGCUUGCAUGUCCCAGCGGAAUUUUAUAAGCCACUUUCUGUUUUGAUAAAUAAAGUAGUCAAAGGUUACUGCUCAUCUGCAGUGAAGGUACAGGAUUUAGUUAAAACUUUGAAGCAAAAAGGGAAAAAAAUCUGCACCCUUCAGAUCAGUGCCAUGAAUGACUUUACUGUCCUGAUUUCACUGGAAGCUUUCGGUCUCAGCCAGUGUUUUGAUAAUGCCUCAUAUCAGCGAAUGUUUAUUUCAACUGUCUUCCCAAUUCCAUACAUGUGAUGAAAUGCCUAGUAUAUGAAUUUGAUAUAUUUUAUUUAUUUAUUUAUUGAUGUAUGAUACAAAUUCAAGACAAGCUGGGCUACUUCACAGUGACUAGACCCAGGGAUGACUGGAGCACUCAUGAUACAAAUUGUUGACUUUAAAACCAAAUGUGAUCAAAAUUAAGAUACUGUACAUUCUGUCGAUGUGUGAUAGUAUUUUAUGCUUAAUAUUAACCAUGCCAACUCUUGUGCAGCUCCAAAAAUACCUUGUUUUGUUUCACCUU